rnacentral:piRNA from 1 species
UGUGCUCCGCUAAGCACAGUGAGUGU